rnacentral:ncRNA from 1 species
CAAAAAGCGUUGAAGAGAAGAGUAGACAAAUAUCUUUCAUGACAGAGAGCUCCGGGAGCUGGAAAGGAGUAUGAACGGAUUUGUUGAAGCAAGCCUCUUAGCUUCGCAUCGGAAUCACGUGUUGAGGAUGGUGCGGCAGAUACUCCUGUUAUCGAGUAAGCUUCUUUAUCCGGAAAGGUUAUGGUGUCGGCAUCAUAACGAAUUGAGGUGGCAUAGCGGGCUCUACCCCGUCCUCAAG